UUUCAAGGAACAACAGAGAGAUGGUAUUUCCAGACAAGGGAAUAAAUUCCCGGAAGCAACUGGCCAAGGAAUGAAAAUCCUGGAGAACAGAGUGGAAGAAACGCGUAUUCCACAUUUCCUGUUGAUUUUCUUUCCUCCCUAAACACUGACCUCCCGCAGUCUUCACUAGCAGGUGAGGUCACCUGUAGAGGUCAUGCUGCGGAGUCCCGAGUCCCUGAUUAUAUUCAAGACGUGGAGCUCUCUUUUUCCCGUCCUGCUUUCUUUCCAGAAGUGCCUCAGAUGCAUCCUCCCCUUCUCUUUUCUCCACAUGAAGACGUCACUGACCAUCUUCUCUGGUUUGCUUUCCAACACCGAGCACCAAGUGCUUCAAAGGUCAUGGUGCCCUGGGGCCGAGAGCUACUUAUGUGGGCAUUUAUAACCAAAUAAAUAUUGAAAUGGCCCACAAAGCAAAUGUUAGUGGUAACCAACAGCGGUAAAACUGGGUACAUGGGACCCUGAACCUUCUUGAAUAUUCCCCAUGAGACCCUGGGCCGACCUUCGGGCUUUCCAGUGUGCUCAGAAAAUCCUCCGUGGCUCCCAGCCCCAGCUUAGUCUUUCAACGGUCCUCGGACUGAAGCAAGAGACAGGGAAGGAAUUGUCCAAGGUUUUCCAGCAUGCUGAGAACACUUACCAUGGUGGAGCCUGGCACGUACUGGCUCUUUGAUGCAUGUGUAUUGGUCUCAAGUAGCCAGAAGCAUCUCCUCUGAGAGCCCUUGCCCUCCAGUUUAAAUGGCAAAUGGAAGGGAAUGGGUUCUGGAAGGCCCCAGGUGGGCUGGGGUGGGUUCUGGAGACCAUCUUCCAACUCCUGUUCAGGAGGAGGGUUGGUCAGAUCAGCUCUGUGGCCACCUGGGCUCUGGAGGGGCGAGAUACGGGCAGGUGCGGCCACAGGAGGGAGAGCACCAUGUGCGGGGGAAGCCCACAGCUGGAACCAAAAGGCCCCAGGAGGGAUCCUGGCUCUGACAUCUCCCAGCCGUGUGGCCUUGGGCAAGGUCCCUGACUUGGACCUCAGCCUCCUCAUCUGUAAAACAGGCAGAACAGUAAUACCGACCUUGUAGGUUGUAUAGAGUUCAUAUACAUCAAGCACUUACCACAGUGCCUGGCGGACCGCAUGCCCUAAACACACAAUCCGUGAAAUGAAUCCAUCAGCAAGCAGCUGCUAGGGGCAGUGUGGGGCAGAGAGGCAGCUGCCUGCUGGAACUGGCUGACAGGAGGAUGAGUGUGUGGCAGGAGGAACGCUCUGCACAGAGGACACUAGGUAGCGUCACCUGUCUCUUACCCUGUGUCUCCACUGGAAUGGAAUGUCAGACUCGCACCAUGCAUUCCUUUCCCUGCCAAAACGCCUCCUCUUAGCAGUGAGCAAGAAAGUUGUUCGAGUGGAUGAAGCCAAAAGCCCAUUUGGCAAGAGUGCUGUUUUGGAAAAUGCUUAGCGGUGUGGGUUGGGAUGAGGUUUUCUGUGCCUUUCCAUUAUUUCUUCAGCUUCAUGUAACCCUGACUGAGCAAUGCUCAGCAGAGUGAAGGCUGGGCAGCAGAUGGACAAGAUUUUCUCAAACUCCUUUUUAAGCCAAUUUCAAAAUAGAGAGAGGGAAAAAUCCUUGUUUUCUCUUUUCGGUUUUGAGAGGUUUCAUAUGCAGACACAAUUUUAAAUUUUAUUUUUUUUGCCCCCAAUGAGAUGUUUGGAGAUGGUGGUACUAGAACAGGAAGGAAUUUAUAAGUAUUGGGGAAUUUUUCAUCCCAAUUCCCAUAUCCUCCUAUAAUUCAAGGAGUGAAUGGGUAGUGUUUUUGUUUUUGUGAGAGGGGUGGCGGAGGGUAGAGAGAGAAAGAGAGAGAGACAGAGAGAGAUUACAUAGAGGUGUCCAAAAUGAACACAGUAAAAACCAGUUUUGAUUAAUUCUGCAAUAUUAAGUAGGCAGCCAAAAAUUUUGGUCUGCUUAAUUCUUAGCUCAUCUAAGUCUCCAGUUGACUGAUUGAUUGAUUGAAUGACUUAUUCAACAUGCGCUAGCCAGACACUGGUCUAGGGCCCAGGAAUUCAGCAAUAAAUGAAACAAGACC
rnacentral:lncRNA from 1 species